rnacentral:lncRNA from 1 species
GACAGAGUUCAGUGUGUCAAAUCGGAGGGCCUACUGUCUGGACCUCUGGCAGUCUCUAUGGGGGUACCACAGGGUUCAAUUCUUGGGCCAACUCUUUUCUCUGUAUACAUAAAUGAUGUCGCUCUUGCUGCUGGUGAAUCUCUGAUCCACCUCUACGCAGACGACACCAUUCUGUAUACUUCUGGCCCUUCUCUGGACACUGUGUUAACAACCCUCCAGACGAGCUUCAAUGCCAUUCAACUCUCCUUCCGUGGUCUCCAACUGCUCCUAAACACAAGUAAAACUAAAUGCAUGCUCUUCAACCGAUCGCUGCCUGCACCUGCCCGCCCAUCCAGCAUAACUUCUCUGGACGGUUCUAACUUAGAAUUUGUGGACAACUACAAAUACCUAGGUGUCUGGUUAGACUGUAAACUCUCCUUCCAGACUCACAUCAAUCAUCUCCAAUCCAAAGUGAAAUCUAGAAUUGGCUUCCUAUUUCGCAACAAAGCAUCCUUCACUCAUGCUGCCAAACAUACCCUCGUAAAACUGACCAUCCUACCAAUCCUCGACUUCGGCGAUGUCAUUUACAAAAUAGCCUCCAAUACCCUACUCAACAAGCUGGAUGCAGUCUAUCACAGUGCCAUCCGUUUUGUCACCAAAGCCCCAUAUACAACCCACCACUGCGACCUGUAUGCUCUCGUUGGCUGGCCUUCACUUCAUAAUCGUCGCCAAACACAUUGGCUCCAGGUCAUCUACAAGACCCUGCUAGGUAAAGUCCCCCCUUAUCUCCGCUCACUGGUCACCAUAGCAGCACCCACCUGUAGCACGCGCUCCAGCAGGUAUAUCUCUCUGGUCACCCCUAAAGCCAACUCCUCCUUUGGUCGUCUCUCCUUCCAGUUCUCAGCUGCCAAUGACUGGAACGAACUACAAAAAUCUCUAAAACUGGAAACACUUAUCUCCCUCACUAGCUUUAAGCACCAGCUGUCAGAGCAGCUCACAGAUCUCUGCACCUGUACAUAGCCCAUCUUUAAUUGAGCCCAAACUACUACCUUUUCCCCUACUGUAUUUAUUUAUUUUAUUUAUUUUGCUCAUUUGCACCAUAUUAUUUAUAUUUUAACUUUUAACUUUCUUCAAACUACAAAUCUACCAUUCCAGUGUUUUUCUUGCCAUACUUUAUUUACUUUGCCACCAUGGCAUUUUUUUGCCUUUACCUCCAUUAUCUCACAUCAUUUGCUCACAUUGUAUAUAGUCUUAUUUUUUUCUACUGCAUCAUUGAUUGUAUGUUGUUUUACUCCAUGUGUAACUCUGUGUUUUUGUAUGUUGUCGAACUGCUUUGCUUUAUCUUGGCCAGGUCGCAAUUGUAAAUGAGAACUUGUUCUCAACUUGCCUACCUGGUUAAAUAAAGGUGAAAUAAAAUU